rnacentral:lncRNA from 1 species
CUUUCCAUGACGUCAAAAGACGAGAUAUUCGAACAUGGUGAAACCAUUGACCCGCUAAGGAUCACCGUACAAGAUCUUGUCGUGAGUGGUCAAGGGGACACAGUGGUCACCAUCCUGAUAGAUCUGAAUGGGUUCUGGAUGUACGAGAAUCGUGAAGUACUGGUCAACGAACCUUCCGAACCAACCCCAAGCGGUUGACAUGUUCUACACUAGAUGGCGCUCACAGUUGAACUACGAGGAAAACCAGUGAUCAGGUUUUCAUUCAAACUCCACGACAGAUGGCGCUCUCGCUCUGGCUCAAUUCUACGUAUAUUCUGGUAUAUCCUGAGUGUGGGAAGGGGGCGCUGCAUGCAGUUUGGUUUUCAUUGUACAGAUAAGAGUACUGUUGUUGUUUCAUGCUUGUAUCUCCAGUACAUAAAUGGUAUGUGUAGGUUUGAUUGAGAAUACCGCCCACGUUUUUAUAGCAUCAAACAUAUUCCAAAGUGAACGGAUUGUAAAUAUGUAAAUAUUAUUGCUUGAAUAAAAAUCCAUGCAUUGAUCCCAUUGAGUUUAUCUAUA